UGUGUGUGUGUGUGUGUGUUAUGCAAAAGGGUCUCUCUGCUGCUUUCUCUUUUGUCACUGAGUCUCCAAAUUGUGUAACUGAAACUGCAAGGAAGACCGUUUUCCUGAAGAUGCUGAGAGCUCUGUUUUGAAGACACACACAUAUCCGCUUUCGAGUGAAUUCAACAAAGGUAGUUUGUAUCCUGGAAAACACGAACAAUUAGAGACUGAAGAGUGAGGACGCCUGUUUGGGGACCGGUUUGGUAUUGUACCCAGACCACACAUUCCGGCUGGGA
rnacentral:lncRNA from 10 species